AUUGAACGCUGGCGGCAUGCUUUACACAUGCAAGUCGAACGGUAACAGGCCGCAAGGUGCUGACGAGUGGCGAACGGGUGAGUAAUGCAUCGGAACGUGCCCAGUCGUGGGGGAUAACGCAGCGAAAGCUGUGCUAAUACCGCAUACGAUCUAUGGAUGAAAGCGGGGGACCGUAAGGCCUCGCGCGAUUGGAGCGGGCGAUGUCAGAUUAGGUAGUUGGUGGGGGAAAGGCUUACCAAGCCGACGAUCUGUAGCUGGUCUGAGAGGACGACCCGCCACACGGGGACUGCGACACGGCCCAGACUCCUACGGGAGGCAGCCGUGGGGAAUUUUGGACAAUGGGCGCAAGCCUGAUCCAGCAAUGCCGCGUGCAGGAAGAAGGCCUUCGGGUUGUAAACUGCUUUUGUACGGAACGAAACGGUCUGGGUUAAUACCCUGGGCUAAUGACGGUACCGUAAGAAUAAGCACCGGCUAACUACGUGCCAGCCGCCGCGGUAAAAC
rnacentral:rRNA from 1 species